GGUGGGUUGGCCACUGCUCUGGCAUGCGGGGCCUGUGAGCGCGUUGUUCGUGUUGGCUGGAGUGGAGCCCAGCUCGUUGGGCCCCUCAGAGGCGGUUGCGGACUCGCCACUAUGGAGGCUGUGCACUUGGUCAGAGUGGGGCGAUCCCAUGAUGUGGUCGGCGGUCACGACCCCUGUUUGUUGCCACCAGCAUGGAAGUGGUGUGCGGCCGGCGAGAUCUGGAGAGGGGGGGCCCUAACAGGUUGUGGCGUGGCCUAUAUCGGCUUCCCUUGGCCCUUGGGCCCCGUCCUCUUGCGGAGUGGCUUUUGCUAUCCUGGAGAGUGUUGCUGUCUUUGUAUAAGGAUGUUGUGUAGUGUGCUUCACUCUUGUAACUGGUGCUGCUGUCUCUUCCUGGCGGGGGAU
rnacentral:lncRNA from 1 species